rnacentral:tRNA from 3 species
GUAAAUAUAGUUUAAAGAAAAUACCAGACUGUGAAUCUGAAGACAGGACACAACCAUCCUUAUUUACC